ACAAUACUCCCUCCAUCCAACAAAAGAUGUCUCAAGUUUAUCAAAAUUUAGAUGUAUCUAGACAUGACUUAGUAUACAAUACAUUUAAAUUUAGUCAAAGUUGAGACAUUUUUUGUUGGACGGAGGAAUUCUAUU
rnacentral:pre_miRNA from 1 species